rnacentral:rRNA from 1 species
UACGUAGGGUGCAAGCGUUAAUCGGAAUUACUGGGCGUAAAGCGUGCGCAGGCGGUUGUGCAAGACAGAUGUGAAAUCCCCGGGCUCAACCUGGGAAUUGCAUUUGUGACUGCACGGCUAGAGUGUGUCAGAGGGGGGUAGAAUUCCACGUGUAGCAGUGAAAUGCGUAGAGAUGUGGAGGAAUACCGAUGGCGAAGGCAGCCCCCUGGGAUAACACUGACGCUCAUGCACGAAAGCGUGGGGAGCAGACAGG